AAGGGGCGAGUUUCAAAAGGGCGAAGAAACCUACCACAAGUGACUACAACAAGUUAAACCGACUAUAUAGAUGUCAACGAGAGGGUCGGUUUCAUCAUUCCCAUCUCGGCUACUCCGGUCCCUCUCCCCGCUGGUUUCAAGAAAAUGGUUUCAACAUCUCGGCUAUUGUCCCGCCCCCUCCGCCACGCGACGCCUACCGCAGGAGGAUCCGCGCUGGUUCCAAAAGGCUCCAGGCGAGGGCCAAGAUAGCGCGGUCCCAGCAUCCAGCGUCUGAUUCGUGGAUCCCGGGUUUCGCUUCCCUUCCGUGGUUCAGGAAUCGCAGUCCUACCCCAGUCCCCCCGAUUCUGACACUCGGCAAAAGAUUCGGUGCCCCUGCGUCAGCGCCAGUAUUUCGGGAUCCAGGUUCCGAGCUCAACCGGACUACUACAAGCUACACGAAAAACAGCACAAUGGCCCCAGGC